GAUUCGCUGAUACAUGAGCAGUCCUGCGCUAAAGGAAGUGAAUAAUUGUAUCAUUAUUGGCUAAUGCAAGCGCAGGACUGCGCUUUGUGUCUUGUGACCACUUGCAAUGAUAAGCACUCCAACUCGCGUUGCCUCGCGUUAUAGCCGGCUUGAUCAUUCCGAGUUUACUAUUAAGCGACCAAAGAUGGAUAUUUGUAUGGUUGCAUACGCAUUUACAACGAAAGCAAAGUAACAAGUCCGCCGUGGCCGAUUAAGGCUUGCCAAGCUUCCAGUUGAAAUUGGAAAAUAACGCAAGGACUCUUCUGGGAUACAAGGUAUUCAAAGAAAUAUCAUAAACUCCGAAAAUAAGGAAGGCAUUAUAUUGGAGUUAAUCGAUUAACUCUAAGGAGGAGAUACACGAAGGAAGUUCCAGUAUUUGAGAACACUGUUCUUAACGCGCCAAAACAAUCCCGCCAAAUUAGCACCCUUCAAGUAAGCUAAAAAUAAUACACAUAUCAAACACAAAAAGUAUCAAUUUGAGAAACUAUAAUAAUAAAAGAGGACCUGUGAAAAUAAUGUCGCUCCUUUUUAGCUUAUUGUAUUUAGUCAAAGGAAGGUGUUUUCGUUCAGACUUUCAGAGGUUUUGUUUUACCUUUUGUUUGAGAAUUAACAAAGGCUUUACCCCUGUUAACAUGUAAUAACCAGAUAUUUAUGCCAUACAGAGUAGUCUGGUUAUUGUAUGUCAACACCUCCUUGAUGUCACCGAGAUCUAUAACGUCUGAUUGGCUCAAACCGCGCAGAUCUGCGCCGUGCAAACCCCAAAUCAUAGCUCGAUAGCUGAUUGGUUUAACCUUGAGCAGAACUGCGUACGGGGUCAGGACCCUAAGAUGUUUCCACUUAAUAGGUUUUUUUUCCAGUUUAGAAUUGAUCACUGUUUAAUAUCUUUCUCAUCAUCAUCAACAUUGCAUUAAUUACACCCUUCAAAAGAUGUUAAUUUAGUUUUAAAGGAGGUUGUUCUGACAAUGUCAGGGUGAUGUUGGGUUUUGCGGUACUGGCCCUCUUUUGUACGAGAUUGCAGUAGAAGAGCAAAAAAACAUGGAGUGAUGCAGUAUUUCAAAACACUGCGAGAUGCGAGAUUUUGCUUUUUAAACGGCAGUAUUGAGAGGCAGAGGUGAAUAUCUUGGCAUAGAGAAGGUCAAUACAGUUGGUGUUGUCUGCCCGGGUGAAGUCAUACUUGUCGAGUAUUUCCAGAGUGAUGCAACAAAACCAGCUAUGGGAGCCCACAGGCUGAUGAGGUCAGUGGUGUUCAGGUGAUGACAUGCUCAGAUGACAGAAGUUUUCAAGAGAGAAGUAAGCCUGUAAAACCUUGAAAUGAAAUGAAGUUAGGAGGGUAAGAGGAUGGGAUGGGAGGGUAAGGUUACAAAAUCACAAGGUGCAAACAUUUGCACUAUCAAGAUUUCUAUAUUUGUUAGGCAUUUUACAGUAUUAGGAACAUUGCGCCAUUUCAAAUAGACCAUUCGAGCUAUAAGCUUGCGCACACAUUACUAUAUAAAUCUAACUCAACUACCAGCUUUUUUAAGCUUGCACCAAACGAAGGGUGCGCUGCAAGAGGGUAGUUGAGGUAGGUUUCCAUGUCAAGUGCGCGUGCAUGCUUAUAGCUGAAAUGGCCUUUGGCAUAUUUUAAGUUAAAGUUUAAAGUUUAUAUUGUUAAUAGCCAGCGAGGUUGAGACUAGGCUCUGGCCUCUCAAAGCACUAUUUCGACUUCUGCUAGGUUCAGAAUCUGGACUUGGUCGCUAAUUGGCCAAUUGACGCGUGGUCAAGGAAACCAAGAAAUUCUGACCGUUCUCUAUUGUAUUGUUCGCUUCAAGUUCAAAAGGUCAAAACUGUUUGCCAUAACAAACAUCUAAACGAACAAAGUAGAGGAGCAAUAGAUUAUUUUAAUCGCAGUUAAACAGUAAUAGUGCUUUGCAGUCCAAAUAAGUUACAAGAUUUACCAGUAUUAAAAAUGUAAAAUCUGUUCAAGAGGAGUCUUAACGAGUUCAUCAACAAGCGGCAAGAUGUCUUUUAUGUGCUGCCGACCGGAUUCGGAGAAUCGCUGAUUUUCCAGCUUAUUCCCGGCGUUUGCUCUCGCCUCAACGAUAGUGGAUUCAACUAUACCCACCUCCCCACCUCCUAUUCCCCACCUCCUAUGCGCCGAUUCUUGUCACUAGCUCUACAGUAAUGAGCCCAUGGGUUUUCAGAUGAAUAUCGUUGUUUUUACAUCUGGUUUUCAUGCGCUUUUCAUACUCGUGAAUUCGAUUCUCGAGCGAAGAGAUGUUUACAUCCCAGGUGAAACUGACACAUGCUAAUCACAAAACGUUAUCAUGGAAGUGAGGCAGAAGUCGAAAUAGUGCUUCGAGAGGCCAGAGCCUCGUCUCAACCUUGCUGGCCACUACAUAGAGAGACGUUUGAGGCUCUGAAACCAGGGUAUAUUCCAAUGUCAUUUUAUCUAAAUUAUAAAGAAAUAAAACCCCUGAAUUUUUUUCCAAUCUGUGCCAUGUUACAUUUCAAUAACUCCAAUAGCAACCUUAUUAAGGAUUUAGAACUCUUUUUAUUGUUAGAUUUUGUGUAAUCUUGUAUUUAAAAAAAGUUAUUUCCAUCAAAACACAUUUGAUAAGGAAAUGAAAGGCUCACAAAAUAUGCCAUGAAAGGGUCGUUCAAACAAAAAUCCUGUUAAAUAUAACAAACUUUAAUGUCUUUGCUGUUUAGAGGCCAUACUAUGCUCACCCAGAUAUGCAUCAAUUUUUUAGGCCGCUGGGUCAAUUAAACUUCUUUUAUUCACCUAUUUAUUUGAUACCAAUGAGGCAAUAGGGGUAGGAAACAAUCUACCAUACACAUACACAUACAGGGUAGAAAUGUUGUAGUUCAGCCUUUUAAUAGUGCAUAUCAUUACUUGGUUUAUUUUAGAUAAAAAUAUUUUCUCUAUAAAAAAUAUUUAAAAAAAACAAUGUCUCAAGAAACAAAAACUAUAUAGAUUACUAACAGUGUUCUAACACAUGGGAAAAUAGCAAAAUGUGUUUUCUAUGAAAAACAAGAACAUACACAAAUACUAAAAAAUGAGUGUGGAACACAAAUGGAAGUUUGCAUGCUACACCAGCAUUUUAACAACUUAUCGCUAUUAAAUUACUUUAAAUUAAUUAAAUAUUGUCAUGCAGGAAAAUACUGUGCUACACAUGAGCUUGUUGGCAUUCUAAAAAGUUAAAACAUUCAACAAAAGAAAAUGUCUACAAUAAAAAGCAAAUUGCUAGAUUGCUGAGCAGCCAAACACAAUUUAAUGUAAAGUCAACUGAUUUGCAGCUCAAAUCUACUUAUGAUAGACUAUUUUAUUUAGCAAAUUGUUGUUACUUUAGUUAGAAAUUAUAUUCGUAAAUGUGUGACGAAUAAAAUGUGUUUGAGAUUAAAGCCCUGUUAUGGGGAAGCAAAGGAUAUUUUUGGAGCAAUUUUUUUUAGUUUUUGAAUAUAUUACUAUCUCAUUUAGGGUCUUUGUUUUUUCUAAAAAAAUACUUUAGAAUUCCCAUUUUGGCACAUCUUUUUGUAUGUUUUCUAGACAUAAAGCACCUUGAAAUUGCUUAAAAACUUCUUCAAGUGUUGGGUGAUGAAACCUCAAAACAAUGUUGGGGCUGUUUACAGAGGGCUGACAAUGGUUCAUCUUAACAUUAUCAAUUAAAUGUAAAACUGCAAAAUAAAGUUUAGUUCAAGGUUGUUAUAUACGUAUAAAGCGAAUUAAUCACCGAUGGACACUGAUUAAUAUUUAUCAAGUUAAUUUAGACCAUCCAAUAGAGCAAGAAAGGUUAGAGUACUAAGCAGAUAGAGAAUUAGAAAAGAAGACUUGGGGCUGGUAAAGCAAGCUGAAGCUUCCCUGUGAAGAUUGCUAGACAAAGUGGCAACAAAGCUAGCAGCGGUUAUGAAUAUGAUUGAGCUAUUGCACAAAACAGAUGCUCUCAGAGUCUCAACAAUUAUUGGUAGAUGAAAUGGAUGUCAAAGCUAACUUUUUACUAGUGAAGAAAACAGAGUUAGAAGAGAUGCAUAGAAGAGAGAAAUAGAAACAACUCCAUUUCUUUCUUCUACACUUUCACCUCCUUCGCACUGAUUCUCUCACACACAGUAAGCACCUUUACUUCUGUCUCUACUUUCUUUUUCUAUCUCUUACUAACACCACCAUUACUCUUUUAUUUUAAAUUAUGGGAAAAUUCCAUGGCAAAAAAUAUUUCCCCUUUGCUGGAGAGAAAAUGCACCAUUGUUAAUUCUUCCCAUUUAAAAAAAAGGAAAUCAAGUGGACUUCAAAAAGAGCAUCUGUAAUUUGUGCUGAAGCUCAGACAGUGCGUAUGAAACUAUGGCAUGGCAUUGGUGUUUGUAUUGACGUGAGUAGUGAUGAUGAUAUUGAUACUAAUGAUGCUUUACCGUGGAACAUUGAUUGAUAUUUACCUGAUGUCUUGUCUUGGUAUUUGUCGGGAGACCAGCGAGAUUCAACAGCUAGUCCUCGAGUUUUGACUGAUUCUUCACUUGCAAGUAGUGAAAGCAUCACCUGAGGACAGAUAAUAAUUAGCAAGAACAACAAUGACAAAAAGAACAAAGGCAUUGGUAAUGCCGAAGGCGCCAUUGGAAGCCUAUCUAAUGGAGAUCCAAGUACUUGGGGCUUGGUCUGGUCUCCAGAGUUACUGCUGGAUGAUGACUGACCAGACGAACAGACAGUGGAGUUCCAUACCAAGGCACCUGGACAGCAUAUGGUUACUGCCUGGAUAAUUGCGCCUAGUGCAAGCACCAGGGAGUUAUGUUGUGAGCAGUUCUUGUACUGGGAAAGCACAGUUGAUGUAGAGGAUGAAGAUGUAACGGGUGUAAAAGAGCUGCAAGAAAAGCCAAGCAUAAACACAUAUGCUAACAA